AGAAUCAACGCUGGCGGCGUGCCUAACACAUGCAAGUCGAACGAGAAAGUGGAGCAAUCCAUGAGUAAAGUGGCGCACGGGUGAGUAACACGUGACUAACCUACCCUUGAGUGGGGGAUAACCUAGGGAAACCUGGGCUAAUACCGCAUAAUACCUUCGGGUCAAAGGAGCAAUUCGCUUAAGGAGGGGGUCGCGGCCGAUUAGUUAGUUGGCGGGGUAAUGGCCCACCAAGACUGUGAUCGGUAUCCGG
rnacentral:rRNA from 1 species